CGGCCGGGAACUCAAAGGAGACUGCCAGUGAUAAACUGGAGGAAGGUGGGGAUGACGUCAAGUCAUCAUGGCCCUUACGACCAGGGCUACACACGUGCUACAAUGGCAUAUACAAAGAGAAGCGACCUCGCGAGAGCAAGCGGACCUCAUAAAGUAUGUCGUAGUCCGGAUUGGAGUCUGCAACUCGACUCCAUGAAGUCGGAAUCGCUAGUAAUCGUAGAUCAGAAUGCUACGGUGAAUACGUUCCCGGGCCUUGUACACACCGCCCGUCACACCAUGGGAGUGGGUUGCAAAAGAAGUAGGUAGCUUAACCUUCGGGAGGGCGCUUACCACUUUGUGAUUCAUGACUGGGGUGAAGUCGUAACAAGGUAACCGUAGGGGAACCUGCGGUUGGAUCACCUCCUUACCUUAAAGAA
rnacentral:rRNA from 4 species